AAAGGAAGACGCGUUCAGAGUGAAAGAGGAGGAGGYUGUUACAGUAAAAGAAGAGGAGGAAGAGAAAGAGGAGGAUGCCGUUUUUGGAGUGAAGGGGGAAGAGAUAACUGUCACAUUGAAGGAGGAGAAUGAAGAACAGGAGAAGGAGACAGGAGAUCUGAUUAAGACCAGAGAGAGACCUGACUCUGACAGCGGAAGAGUUCCUCAGAGGAAAACAGACCCGGAGACGCUAACCAACACCACUGCUCCCACUGUGGAAAGAGUUUUAGGUGGUUUGGGAGCCUGAAAAAUGCAUGGAGAAUACAUACAGGAAAAAGCCUACCACUGUUCUCACUGUGGAAAGAAUUUACUCAGUUAGGGGCCCUGGUUGGGCAUGAGAGAACACACACUAGAGCGCAAGCCUUAUCACUGUUCCCACUGUGGAAGAGUUUUAGGUGGUUAUGGUCCUGAACAAGCAUGAGAGAUACACACUGGAAGAGCCUUAUCACUGUUCUCACUGUGGAAACAGUUUUAGUGGUUAGUGAGCCUGAAAACGCAUGAGAGAACACACACAGGAGAAAAACCUUUCCAAUGUUCCCAGUGUGAAAAGAGUUUUAGGUGGUCAGGGAGUCUGAAAAAAGCAUGAGAGAAAACACACAAGG